AUGAUUAAGAUUUGUAUCAUAAACUGGAAGAGUUGGAUGCCUGGAGCUAUCAGAACCACCUACAAAUCACAUUGUUCUUUGUCUUUUCCAGGUGAGUCAGUGCAGCGACAUGCGGUGGGGCUGGCUCCCGCGGGGGACCCGGCCUGGGCGCUCACCGCCAUCCUGAAGCUGCUGAAGCCGCUGGCGCUUAAUAAGGGUAUUUUGAUCGUUAAACGUAAUUGCUUGCUUUUCAUACUGAUGCCAAUCCGUGGGGCAGGGGCAGCUUUGGUGUUUGACUCGUCUGCGUUCGAGGAACAGCCCCUGGAAACGCGCCGCUCCCCAAAAUAAAGUCAGGAGGUGACUCAGAGUUGGUGUCUGGCUGUCUACACGGCCCACGUUUUCUUGGAACAAAGGCGAGCAGGAGCUAGACGCAAACCUCCCCUGUGGGGUGCCCGCGGGGACACAGUCCCCGGCCUCUGCCUCAGCCCCCGGAUGUGCUGCCUCUCCCCGAACCUGCGAGGGAGGCUCUGCUCCUGACCAGUCCGGUUACAGUUGGGAAACUGAGGCACGGGGACCCAUUCACUCCACGGAGGCUUCCACCUGGCCUGAGGGCUGGGCCGCGGCCCUGGGUUCCCUGCCUGCACCGCGUCCUGACUCCCGUCUCCCCUCGCUCCCAAACCGCCUGCACCCGGCCUCCUGAGAGCCCAAGACGCCUGCAACCCAGUCUUUUCUGAACUGUGCGGAGGAAGGAGAGUACAUGAGUCCUUGGGAAGGGCCAGCGUCACACAGGUGCUCUGGGUGCGGGGGUGCUGAAGGUGCUGCGGGUGCUGAGAGUGCUCCGGGUGCUGCGGGGCCAUGGGGGUGAGGGUGCUGCGGGUGCUAUGAGUGCUCCAGGUGCUGCGGGGGCAUGGGGUGCAGGUGCUGAGAGUGCUCUUGGUGCUGAGGGGGUGUGGGGUGCGGGUGCUGAGGGUGUGGCGGGUGCUGAGAGUGCUCCGGGUGCUGCGGGGGUGUGGGGUGCGGGUACUGAGGGUGCUGCAGGGGUGUGGGGGUGCGGGUGUUGUGGGUGCUGAGGGGGUGUGGGGUGCAGGUGCUGAGAGUACUGCAGGGGCUGUGAGUGCACAGGUGCUGCAGCGGCCAUGGGGAUGAGGGUGCUGAGGGUGCUGAGGGUGCUGCAGGUGCUGAGAGUGCUCCAGGUGCUGCGGGGGCGUGGGGCAUGGGUCCUGAGGGUGCUGUGAGUGCUCCAGGUGCUGUGGGGGCAUGGGGUGCAGGUGCUAAGGGUGCUGCAGGUGCUGCAGGGGCGUGGGGUGCAGGGACUGCAGGUGCAGGGCCGUUCUGGGUGCCCGGAGACACUCUGGACUCAGGCGUGCAGGCUUGGUUCAGUCCCUGAGCUCUGGUGUGGCGUUCCCCACUCCUGCC
rnacentral:lncRNA from 1 species